rnacentral:rRNA from 1 species
GACGAACGCUGGCGGCGUGCUUAACACAUGCAAGUCGAACGGAAAGGCCCUGCUUUUGUGGGGUGCUCGAGUGGCGAACGGGUGAGUAACACGUGAGUAACCUGCCCUUGACUUUGGGAUAACUUCAGGAAACUGGGGCUAAUACCGGAUAGGAGCUCCUGCUGCAUGGUGGGGGUUGGAAAGUUUCGGCGGUUGGGGAUGGACUCGCGGCUUAUCAGCUUGUUGGUGGGGUAGUGUCUUACCAAGGCUUUGACGGGUAGCCGGCCUGAGAGGGUGACCGGCCACAUUGGGACUGAGAUACGGCCCAGACUCCUACGGGAGGCAGCAGUGGGGAAUAUUGCACAAUGGGCGGAAGCCUGAUGCAGCAACGCCGCGUGCGGGAUGACGGGCUUCGGGUUGUAAACCGCUUUCGCCUGUGACGAAGCGUGAGUGACGGUAAUGGGUAAAGAAGCACCGGCUAACUACGUG